rfam:Picea glauca, whole genome shotgun sequence.
AUCAGAGUGGUGUGGUAGAAGCACAAUGGGCCCAUAACCCAUAGGCCCAGGUUCGAAUCCUGGCUCUGAUA